GACGAACGCUGGCGGCGUGCUUAACACAUGCAAGUCGAACGGAAGGGCCCUGCUUUUGUGGGGUGCUCGAGUGGCGAACGGGUGAGUAACACGUGAGUAUCCUGCCCUUGACUUUGGGAUAACUUCAGGAAACUGGGGCUAAUACCGGAUAGGAGCUCCUGCUGCAUGGUGGGGGUUGGAACGUUUCGGCGGUUGGGGAUGGACUCGCGGCUUAUCAGCUUGUUGGUGGGGUAGUGGCUUACCAAGGCUUUGACGGGUAGCCGGCCUGAGAGGGUGACCGGCCACAUUAGGACUGAGAUACGGCCCAGACUCCUACGGGAGGCAGCAGUGGGGAAUAUUGCACAAUGGGCGGAAGCCUGAUGCAGCAAUGCCGCGUGCGGGAUGACGGCCUUCGGGUUGUAAACCGCUUUCGCCUGUGACGAAGCGUGAGUGACGGUAAUGGGUAAAGAAGCACCGGCUAACUACGUG
rnacentral:rRNA from 1 species